UCCAUUUUUGAAUGGAUUAACAACGCACACUCAUAAAAGAGAAAAGGGAUUAAAGCAAGAAAACCAAAGCCAUAAAGAUCGGUUGACAUUGGUGAACACUAAAGAACAUAGCAAAUAAAGAAUAAAAAAUUCAAUGAGCCAACAAAGAGAAAAGCAAAAUGUUGAAAAUUGAAAAUCAAAAAUCAAAAUGCUCCCAUUUUGUUGUAAUGUUAAUGGAAACAUCUAUAUUCAGCUCCGGUUCAGUUAAAUAUGAUGUUGUUUAUUACGAUGUUUUCAAUUGGGUAUUGCUUGCUUGCUUUCUUUCUCCUUCGAUCCGUGAGUUGCAAUUUUUCCCUCUUUAUCAUUUUUGUAUUCCUUUUUUCAGAAUCUUGCCCAUUUUUAACCCUUUUCAGUUCUUGCUUUUUCCCCCUUCAUCACUAAAAGCUUUUUCUUCACUUUUUGUUGAGAAAGUUGAGAUCUUUGAAUGGGUACGGACUCUACAUCUUUAGAUGUGAUACUGAAAUUUCUGCGAAAGAAUAAAUUUACAGGGGUUGGAGGCUGCAAUUGCGUUAUUUGGGGGUGAGGUUGGAGUUUGGGGGUGGGGAGUGAUGAAGAAGAUGUGAUGGUUGGAGUGGUAGUGGAUGACAUACAGAAAAAAAAAAAAAAAAAGUCACUUUAACCAGGUUUGAAUUCGAGCACACCUACUAGUGGAUAUUCUUAAGAUCAACCUAAAUGAAUUGUGGAGUGUUACGUUGCUAGAUAUGCAAAAUACCUAAGUGAAGAAAUGGAUAUGCCUUCAGUGGAUUUUGAAGUAGAGUACCAUCGUAUGCGAUGCACGGCACUUCUUAGAAACUACGGUCUUCAGAAAGCGAAGAAAGGUUAUGUAAGUGACAAUGACGAUCCUCCAAGACCAAGGACAAAAAAUGUCUACCUACCCGAUGAAACUGAAAUAGUUAGUGUUGAGUAGUAUUUAAGAUCAUUAUGGUGACGACUUUAUAUUCCAGUGGAUUUUUUAGGAAUCUAAAAUUUGAAAUUAAUAUUAGUUGUUUGUUAUGAAACACAUUUGACAUAUGUUUUUGGAUUAUAGUUUGAAUGACGAGGA